GUAUCCGGAUUCAUUUAUUUUAACUUGUUUGUAAACUGCUCCCACACUCCUGCUUUCAUGUUCUCUCUCAUCCUCUUCUUUUUCAUUUUUCUGUCUGUCUGAUCCCAUAAUUCCUUCAAGAAAAGGCUACAUCCAGUUUAUUCUUUUCUGAUUCCUUUCCUUCCAUGUUGCUGAAUUGCCUCCCAAAACCCAAUGUUAUAAUUUUAUUUUAGGUUUGAUAAUUUUUCUGUUUGACGCAGGGGAGUCUAAUACUAUAAAAAAAAAUGAUUAUUUGUCUUUAUUUUUCAUGAUUGCGUUGAGGCUUAGAUUGUUUGGUCCGUUAUUCUUCCGCCACGCGUCCAUGUAGGCUUCAGCGAUUCAAGAAGGGUCUCUUAUCAUUGAUUUGUCAAAGAACGGUGUGAGAUGCUGAGGUAGUAAUAAUAAUAACGGUUUAUUGUUUUGUAUUAGGUUGGAGCAUAUAUAAGCCCAUGUUUUGAUGAAUAUGGUUGAAGAUUUUCCAUCGAAAGCUGCAUGGGGUGUGAUUAUUCCAAUGCUAAAACCAGCGUUUGGGAACACAGUACGUUACUUGAAGUGCCAACAAAGAUGCUUUGUCAUGCGAAGUGUCGUUGCGUUGCUUCAUAGGGAUGAGAAGUGAGGUUGUUGAGGUUUUCGUUGGACUCUGCAACAGUGAAGGAAACGGAAUUUGUAAUAUUUUAAAUAUAAAAUCUGCUUCUCCCCCAAUUCGAAUUAUUUGCAAGGGAUGUGCAACUAGCAUUUACGAAGCCAAGUAAGGAAUGGACGCAAGAGUCAGAGUUUAUGCAUAGCAUUUCCUAGUUCCAAACGUAGGCAAGAAAAACUGGAACCAUUGAAGGUCACUGGCAAUUAUUUCGAAAUGUCAAUUUAACAACUUUUUGUGGGUAUUGAAGUUUUAAUGUGCACAUAAGUUUGUCAACCUGACAACUUUUUAUUGCGUAUUUUUUAGAAAAUCUAGAAUAGAAAAUCGAGAUGGUUGGGUUUCUUUUAUUUACGAGUUACAACUUGAGUUUAUUCUUCAUUCUCUUUUCAUUUAAACAUGGUUUUUAAGUAUAAAAUACAAAUGAACUUCUUGAUUUAUUCUGCAUAUAACAUGGUAAAAUAUUUAGCAUUGAAAUCAUCUACUCAUCGAUAUGAUCACUUCAUUUGUUUUGCUUUGUCCUUUAAUGAUUAAUAUUAAUUUCACGAACUCGUGUAUAUCUAUUUGUCAGCACUACAAGAAUCGCGACUAUUGAGAUUUCAUCUGGCCUCCAUUGGUAACUUAUGGGAUAAGAGACAUUUAGGCAAUUUCAGUCCCAAAGCCAAGGUCACUACCCCAUUUGAAGAUGUUGGAAAGUUUUGCUCAUAACAAGUAGAAAGUUACUCACUACCUUGCAAGUCUGUCAUGUGCACACUUUAAAUGUGAAUGGUCAUGGAUUUUAUUUUGACUUUCGAUAUUAACUUACCUUUGGUGUUUAGUGGGUCAAACCAUGCUAGAUUUAAUUUAUUUUUCAAGGUCAUUUCAAGCUUAUAUAUUAGUAACAUGACAUUGUGUCAUACUUUGACAUAUUAUCGCCAAAAAAAAAAUAUUUUAUUGGCUGA